GGUUUCCGUGGUGUGAAGUGGUUAUCACGUUCGCUUUACGCGAAAGGUCCCUGGUUCGAUCGGGCGGAACCA